rnacentral:lncRNA from 1 species
GACAUGGCUAGAAUGCGGGUUUCUGAGGACAUGACCCUUGAUAGGAAAGUCUGGAGGUCUAGUAUCAGGGUUGUAGGAUAGGAGCCCCUAGGGUUUUUCAUACUCCUCACCCGGGGCUGGGUGAGGCUUGGCAUGACUAUCCAUAGAUGAUUUGUGUAUUUGAUUGUGUCUCCCUUAUGGUAGUUAUUUGUUGUUGUUGUUGUCUGAUAUUAUUGCAUGAUAUUUUAUUUAUGGUUCUUAUGUUUAGAUAAUUAUUUACGCUAUUUCU